rnacentral:rRNA from 1 species
CCAAUAGCGUAUAUUAAAGUUGUUGCAGUUAAAAAGCUCGUAGUUGAAUUUCGGAAUCAAUGGAUCGGUCAUGCCAAUCGGUGUGUACUGGUUUGAUUGGUUCUCACCUUCUAAGGAACCGUGAUGUCAUUAAUUUGGUGUCGCGGGGAAUUAGGACUGUUACCUUGAAAAAAUUAGAGUGUUUAAAGCAAGCUCACGCUUGAAUACAUUAGCAUGGAAUAAUGGAAUAGGACAUUGUAUUCUAUUUUGUUGGUUUCUAGGAUCGAUGUAAUGAUUAAUAGGGAUAGUUGGGGGCAUUAGUAUUCAAUUGUCAGAGGUGAAAUUCUUGGAUUUACUGAAGACUAACUACUGCGAAAGCAUUUGCCAAGGAUGUUUUCAUUAAUCAAGAACGAAAGUUAGGGGAUCGAAGACGAUCAGAUACCGUCGUAGUCUUAACCAUAAACUAUGCCGACUAGGGAUCGGAUGAUGUUAAUUUUAUAAUGACUCAUUCGGCACCUUACG